rnacentral:lncRNA from 1 species
UGGAAAAGAUUGUUUCAGUCAACUCCUCCUAUUUCACACAGCAUACACUCCAUGCUGGCAGACCUACUCCUUUCUUUUUCAGACUUUGACAAACAUGACCAGCUUUAGUAAUGAGUUUCAUAACCUUAAAGUGAUGGCAGAAACUACAUGGCAGUCUGCACCUGGCUGCAAAACACAUGAUUUUCAUUCCCAUUUCCCCAAAAUAGAGGUCAUAAAUAGUUGAUCCAGAUUUAGCCUGUAAGCAGUAAAUAAAUAGGACCAUAUAGUAUUAAAACAAAGGUUUGGAGAUUCACUGUUCAGAAAUCGAUCUCAACAGUUAGCAAACACUGUUGGCAGGUAUGAAGAACCUAAGCUGGUCUAACAAGUCGGGGGGAGGGGGAGGCGGAGCGGGGAGGAGUACACCUUACUGCUUCUGCAUUCAUUUUAAUUCAUUAGAGGAAGACUGGACAUCUUUUCAAUAUGCAGUCCAUCCAGAUCAACCAGAAAUCAUGGCUGGGAUUCAAGAAUUACUAAAUGAAACCCUGUGCCAUGCAGGAGGACAGUCUGAAGGACCAUAGUGCCUACUCACGACCAGAGCUGAGGUUUUUAUUCAGUUUUAUUUUCUAAAUAGUAAACCAAGAGAAUAUAUAAUAGGCUAUGAAAAUACGUAACAAAAACCUCUUUCAAAACAGUAAUAUUUCCCCUUUCUCAUGCCACUGCUGCUUCUUUGAGUAUUCCAUUACACUCAUAUAUACUUGGCUGGGGAAGGAAAGGAAGAAGACAAAGACACUUAUGUCAAAAUUCAUUAAAUGUUCUCUAUCUUUCCUUACACCAUAAACAAAAAAAUUCUCAUAGUUCUCCACUCAUGACAAGAAACACAAUCAUCAGGCCAGCAGAGAUGCAGAUACUCACAGUGAACCUUAUUUUGCUGCUUGCCAUUCUAUUUUUUGGGCAGAACUGCAAACCAGAUCACCACUACUAAGACAACCAGUUCUACAUUUUCAUGUUGUUCCUUUCAAGAAGACUUGAAACACUGCAAUCUCAUAUGCACACAGCAAUCUGACAACCACUAGUCAAAUGCUUUCUAAUAACAUAAAUCAAAGUCUUAAGAAAUACUCUAUAUUAGAAAGUAUAAGUGAAACACCGAAUCCUUUUUGGAAUUUAAGACUUUAAAUAAUCUGCCAGUGAACCUCAGCCUACUACUUUUCAUUUUAUCCUGCUGCCUACCAUCAUCUUAAGAGACAAACAAUAAAAUGAACUACUCUCAGAAAACUGAACCUAGCUCCUAGACAUGUCUGGAAAUAGCAAGAUGAUCACUACAGAUUAUACAAGAUAUAAACAUGUAUCUUAACUAAAAUAACUUACUUUUUUUUUUUUUUUUUAAAUCUUCCACAUCACAAAUUCACCUCUUAGAUAUUGUAGUGACAACACAAACACCACCCCCCACACAAAAAAA